rnacentral:rRNA from 1 species
UACGUAGGGCGCAAGCGUUAUCCGGAAUCAUUGGGCGUAAAGAGCUCGUAGGCGGUUUGUCGCGUCUGCCGUGAAAGUCCGGGGCUUAACUCCGGAUCUGCGGUGGGUACGGGCAGACUAGAGUGCAGUAGGGGAGACUGGAAUUCCUGGUGUAGCGGUGAAAUGCGCAGAUAUCAGGAGGAACACCGAUGGCGAAGGCAGGUCUCUGGGCUGUAACUGACGCUGAGGAGCGAAAGCAUGGGGAGCGAACAGG